rnacentral:rRNA from 1 species
UACGUAGGUGGCUAACGUUGUCCGGAUUUACUGGGCGUAAAGCGCGCGCAGGCGGUCGUUCAAGUCGGGUGUGAAAGCCCCCGGCUCAACUGGGGAGGGUCACUCGAUACUGAUCGACUUGAAGGCAGAAGAGGGAAGCGGAAUUCCCGGUGUAGUGGUGAAAUGCGUAGAUAUCGGGAGGAACACCAGUGGCGAAGGCGGCUUUCUGGUCUGUUCUUGACGCUGAGGCGCGAAAGCUAGGGUAGCAAACGGG